GGAAUCUUCCACAAUGGACGAAAGUCUGAUGGAGCAACGCCGCGUGAGUGAAGAAGGGUUUCGGCUCAUAAAACUCUGUUGUUAAAGAAGAACAUAUCUGAGAGUAACUGUUCAGGUAUUGACGGUAUUUAACCAGAAAGCCACGGCUAACUACGUGCCAG
rnacentral:rRNA from 1 species